CUAUUUUAAGAGUAACACCUACUUUUUUUGCCCAAUCAACAGCCAUUUUCACUGUCAGGAGAAUCAGCCAACCAUUUGUAGUAAUUUUCACCAAGAUCUAUUCAACUUCCUUCUUAUGUCUAAUUGGUACUCUUUGUUCUAAUAUUAAAUGUGCAUGUUAGAUAAAGAAUUCCACUGCUCUAGAAAAGAGAGAUUUGGAGACCAGUAGGUGCUAAAUGGCAAUAACUAAUAACCAGUUCUGUUAAGUACAGACUUAAAAAGGGAAGCAGGUACAUACUGCUCUGAAAGAGGCAUCCAGAGGCCAGUGGCCAAAACAGUGUUGUAGAAAGAUGUAAAGCUUCUCCUGGACAAACCGAGGAAUUACAACCCUGCAAACAGAUUCAAAGACAGUCACAUGUACAGACCAGCAGCAAAUUUUAAAAACAAAACCACCUAACCCACCAACAACCCAACACACUGCCACAACUGCAAAUACAGAAAGGACUGACCAAAACUUGUUCUUUCUUAACUGAUGCUACUUCUGGCCACUGAGUUUCAACUCAAAUUCAUAAAUAGCAGAUACUAAACUAACCUUGGCAAGAAUCCUCUGGUAGCAUUUCUUUUCUCUGACUUGUGCCAGGAUAUAGACUAGUGUGUCAUAGCUGCUGCCCAGGCUGCCCCCCCCCCCGUGGGAGUGAGAAAUAUAAUCCAUUACUUUUGUACUUUUAAUAAUGUACUUCUGUAUCUAAGGAUCAAAACAACUCAACCCCUCGGUGAAAGCUGAGCUUUUCAGGGAGAAGCCCUACACAUUUCAGAGACAGGCUGCUCAUGUACCUACCUUUUAAACUCCUCCAGUGGACUGGCUGUGUGGGAGUGGGCUGAAGGGGAGAGGGGCUCUGGUUUCAGGCUGUUGCUGAAAGCAUGCAGGUGUUUCACAAGCAGUCUUACCACUAGCACAUGCUCUUCAGUGGGCUUAAAUGACUCCUAGAUUCAAAGCAAAAGAGAGGAAACUAAUAAGUGUCAUAUGCUAAAUGUCCAGGAAAUAAUUCAGGAAAACUAUAUUCUCAGCUCAAAAUACAAGAAAUGCUCUCUUCCUUCUAGGUUCUUCACCAUAGUUUGGUGCCACCUGAUUUUGGGCAGGUUUGCUCCCCAGGACAAGCUGUAUCAAUCUUCUGCCAUCAGUUCACUAAGAAACAGCAACAUAUUUUGAUUGUAAGAAAAGAAGUUGAGAAGAAACAAAAGUUACAGCUGCAAGUAUAAUGGGAAGUCCUGGGAGAGCGUAUUACACAAGAGCUGCAAGAUGUUUCCAGGAUGGCAGGUGCAGCCAUGCUAAGGAAAGUUACUUAUCUGGGAUCUGUCUUGGCCCAUGAAAGCAAACAAAUCUGGCUGCUGGACAAAGAAAGAGCAAGUUCUGCAGAAGCUCAUCCCACCUUCCAAUACAGGUAUGUAGCCAUUUGAAAUGACUGAUGGUCAAACAGGUCUAGAUCCAGGGAUGAGGAGUCACUAAUUAUCCCUCCUUUCA